ACUCUUGAUAAUGGAUAUCUAGGCUCUCGUAUCAAUGAAGAACGUAGUGAAAUGCAAUACUUGAUGUGAAUUGCAGAAUCCCAUAAACCAUCGAGUCUUUGAACGCAAGUUGCGCCUGAAGCCACUAAGCCGAGGGAACGCCUGCCUGGGUGUCAUCCAUCGCGUCGCCCCCUCCCCGGGCCCAAAUGUGUGGCGGGGGCAGAUAGUGCUCCCCCGUGUGCGAUACCGCUCGGUCGGCCCAAAUGUGAUCCCCGGCGAUGUACAUCACGAAAAGUGGUGGUUGAACCCUCAAUGCAUGCUGUCGUGCUCCACUGUGUCAGGAUUCACGAUCAGACCCAACAGCACGUGCGAGCACGUCACCUUCGACCGUGACCCAGGUCAGGCAGGAUCACUCACUGAGUCUAAGCAGAUCAAUAAGCGGAGGAAAAGAAACUUACAAGGAUUCCCUUAAUAACGGCGAGUGAACUAGGAAUAGCCCAACUUGAGAAUCGGGUGGCCAUGCCGUUCGAAUUGUAGUCUGGAGAAGCAUCCUCAGUGGCGGACCAGGGUCGAGACCCCUGGAAUGGGGUGUCAUAGAGGGUGAGAGCCCCGUUGCUCCCGGACCUUGUCACACCACGAGGCGCUAUCAGCGAGUCAGGUUGUUUGGGAAUGCAGCUCCAAUCAGGCGGUAAAUUCCGUCCAAGGCUAAAUACGGGCGAGAGACCGAUAGCGAACAAGUACCAUGAGGGAAAGAUGAAAAGGACUUUGAAAAGAGAGGAAAGCGAAUGGGGGCCGACGAUGCAUCCCGGUCAGAUGUGGAACGACGAGAACCAUUCCGCCGAUCGACUCGGGGCGUGGACCAGCAUGGAUCGAUGCGGCGCUCAAAGCUCAGGUAGUCGAUAUACUCGUUGUACAGCGUCGCACUGAUCUAGGCGGACAACUCGUGCUUCGUGUGUGCCUCGGUAACUGUACAUUCCCGGUGCUAGCUUGUGGGCUCCCCAUUCGACCCGUCUUGAAACAUAGACCAAGAAGUCUGACAUGUGCGCGAGUCAAUGGCGAAUAAACCCAUUAGGUGCAAGGAAGCUGACCGGCACAAUCCCCCGAGGGGUACACCGCCGACCGACCUUGAUCUUCUAAGAAGGGUUCGAGUGAGCGUACCUGUCGGGACCCAAAAGAUGGUGAACUAUGCCUGAGCAAGGCGAAGCCAGAGGAAACUCUGGUGGAGGCCCGCAGGGUACUGAAGUGCAAAUUGUUCAUCUGACUUGGGUAUAGGGGCGAAAGACCAAUCAAACCGUCUAGUAGCUGGUUCCCUCUGAAGUUUUCCUCAGAAUAGCUGGAGCUCUAGUGUGAGUUCCAUCGAGUAAAGCCAAUGAUUAAAGGCAUCGGGGGGCGCAAUGCCCUUGACCUAUUCUCAAACUUUAAAUAGGUAGGAUGGCACGUCUACUCCGUUGAGCUGUGCCGGAGAAUCAUGAGCUUCAAGUGGGCCAUUUUUGGUAAGCAGAACUGGCGAUGCGGGAUGAACUGGAAGCCGAGUUAUGGUGCCCAACUGUGCGCUAAUCUAAUCCCACAAAGGGUGUUGGUCGAUUAAGACAGCAGGACGGUGGUCAUGGAAGUCAAAAUCCACUAAGGAGUGUGUAACAACUCACCUACCGAAUCAACUAGCCCCGAAAAUGAAUGUCGCUGAAGCACUGACCUAUACCCGGCCGUCGGGGUAAGGGCCAGGCCCCGAUGAUUAGGAGGGCACGACGGUCGCUGCAAAACCCUGGGCACAAGCCUUGGCAGAGCAGCCGUCGGUGCUGAUCUUGGUGCUAGUAGCAAAUAUUCAAAUGAGAACUUUGAAGGCCGAAGAGGGGAAAGGUUCCAUGUGAACGGCACUUGCACAUAGGUUAGUCGAUCCUAAGGGUCGGUAGAAGCCCGACAGACAGCGCCCUCUGAAAGGGAAUCAGGUAAAAAUUCCUGAACUGGGACGCGGCGGUUGGAGGUAAUGUUAGGGAGUCUGGAGAUGUCGGCGGGGGCAUCGGGAAGAGUUAUCUCUGUUUUACAGCCCGCCCACCCUGGAAACAGCUCAGCCGGAGGUAGGGUCCAGAGGCUGAAGAGCACCGCACAUCGCGUGGUGUCAGGUUCGCCCCCAGCAGCCUUUGAAAAUCUAGAGGACCGAGUACCGUCUGCACCCGGUCAUACUCAUAUCCACAUCAAGUCUCCAAGGUGAACAACCUCUGGUCGAUGGAACAAUGUAGGGAAGGGAAGUCAGAAAAAUGGAUCUAUAACCUCAGGAAAAGGAUUGGCUCUGAGGGCUGGGCACGGGGGUCCCAUUCCCGAACCCAUCGGCUAUUGGCGAACUGCUCGAGCUGCUCAUGCAGCGAGAGCGGGUCGUCGCUUGCCGACCAGGGGACAGACUGGGAACGACUCUCUCGGGGGCCUUCCCCGGGCAUCGAACAGUUGAAUUAGAACUGGUACGGACAGGGAAUCCGACUGUUUAAUUAAAACAAAGCAUUGCGAUGGUCCCUGCGGAUGCUCAUGCAAUGUGAUUUUUGCCUAGUGCUCUGAUUGUCAAAGUGAAGAAAUUCAACCAAGCGCAGGUAAACGGCGGGAGUAACUAUGACUCUCUUAAGGUAGCCAAAUGCCUCGUCAUCUACUGAGUGAUGCGCAAGAAUGGAUUAACGAGAUUCCCACUGUCCCUACCUACUAUCCAGCGAAACCACAGCCAAAGGAACGGGCUUGGCGGAAUCUGCGGAGAAAGAAGACCCUGUUGAGCUUGACUCUAGUCCGACUUUGUGAAAUGAUUUGAGAGGUGUAGGAUAAGUGGGAGGCAAAAGGUGAAAGUGAGAUACCACUACUUUUAACGUUAUUUUACUUAUUCUGUAAAUCGGAGGUGGGGCAUCACCCCUCUUUUUGGACCCAACGCUCGCCCCAGCGAGCUGAUCCGGGUGGAAGACAUUGUCAGGUGGGGAGUAUGGCUGGGGCGGCACAUCUAUUAAAAGAUAACGCAGGUGGGGAGAUUUGCAUAUGUGGGCAAUAGGAGUUGGGCAUGGGCCAUGGCAUGGGCAAGCCAAGGCAACAGCCGUGGGCAUGGGCCGUGCAAGCAUUGUCUGUGCAUGGGAAACCCGUGGCAAUGUGCGUGGGCAUACUUGGGCGACCCCCGUGGGUAACCGUGGGCAACGGGAGUUG
rnacentral:rRNA from 1 species